rnacentral:rRNA from 1 species
CGUAACGCGUAUGCAACCUACCUCUGACUGGGGGAUAGCCUUCCGAAAGGAAGAUUAAUACCGCAUAAUACAAUGAAGUGGCAUCACUUUAUUGUCAAAACUCCGGUGGUUAGAGAUGGGCAUGCGUAAUAUUAGCUAGUUGGUGAGGUAAUGGCUCACCAAGGCUACGAUAUUUAGGGGGUCUGAGAGGAUGAUCCCCCACACUGGUACUGAGACACGGACCAG